CACCAGGUUGAUUCUGCCUGACGUGGAUGCUAUUCUCUGGGGCUAAGCCAUGCAUGCUUGUGAACUCUUUGUGGGGGAUUAGCGGACGGCUCAGUGAUAGCACGAUGAUUUGUUUGCGGGAUGAGCAGUAGCUGCGGGAAACUGCAGAUAGUGGUCUGCCCCUGUGGGGGUUGGCAAGUAAGUUGUGGGCCUAUCAGCUGGUAGUUAGGGUAA
rnacentral:rRNA from 1 species